ACACGUGGACAACCUGCCCUUAGGACGGGGAUAAACCCGGGAAACUGGGUAUAAUACCCGAUAGGUCUCGAUUGCUGGAAUGCAUCGAGAUUUAAAGCUCCGGCGCCUAAGGAUGGGUCUGCGGCCUAUCAGGUAGUAGUGGGUGUAGCGUACCUACUAGCCUACGACGGGUACGGGUUGUGAGAGCAAGAGCCCGGAGAUGGAUUCUGAGACACGAAUCCAGGCCCUACGGGGUGCAGCAGGCGCGAAAACUUUACAAUGCUGGCAACASCGAUAAGGNAACCUCSAGUGCCMGGUUACAAAUCUGGCUGUCGAGAUNCCUAAAAAGCAUU
rnacentral:rRNA from 1 species